rnacentral:rRNA from 1 species
CCUAACGGGUGGCUGCAGUGGGGAAUAUUGGACAAUGGGCGAAAGCCUGAUCCAGCCAUGCCGCGUGUGUGAAGAAGGCCUUCGGGUUGUAAAGCACUUUCAGUGGGGAAGAAAGCCUUGGGGCUAAUACCCUCGAGGAAGGACAUCACCCACAGAAGAAGCACCGGCUAACUCCGUGCCAGCAGCCGCGGUAAUACGGAGGGUGCGAGCGUUAAUCGGAAUUACUGGGCGUAAAGCGCGCGUAGGCGGUCUGAUAAGCCGGUUGUGAAAGCCCCGGGCUCAACCUGGGAACGGCAUCCGGAACUGUCAGGCUAGAGUGCAGGAGAGGAAGGUAGAAUUCCCGGUGUAGCGGUGAAAUGCGUAGAGAUCGGGAGGAAUACCAGUGGCGAAGGCGGCCUUCUGGACUGACACUGACGCUGAGGUGCGAAAGCGUGGGUAGCAAACAGGAUUAGAUACCCCAGUAGUC